rnacentral:rRNA from 1 species
AACGAACGCUGGCGGCAGGCUUAACACAUGCAAGUCGAACGGAUCCUUCGGGAUUAGUGGCAGACGGGUGAGUAACGCGUGGGAACGUACCCUUUGCUACGGAAUAACUCAGGGAAACUUGAGCUAAUACCGUAUGUGCCCUACGGGGGAAAGAUUUAUCGGCAAAGGAUCGGCCCGCGUUGGAUUAGCUAGUUGGUGGGGUAAUGGCCUACCAAGGCGACGAUCCAUAGCUGGUCUGAGAGGAUGAUCAGCCACACUGGGACUGAGACACGGCCCAGACUCCUACGGGAGGCAGCAGUGGGGAAUAUUGGACAAUGGGCGCAAGCCUGAUCCAGCCAUGCCGCGUGAGCGAUGAAGGUCUUAGGAUUGUAAAGCUCUUUCACCGGUGAAGAUAAUGACGGUAGCCGGAGAAGAAGCCCCGGCUAACUUCGUG